rnacentral:rRNA from 1 species
AUUGAACGCUGGCGGCAGGCCUAACACAUGCAAGUCGAACGGUAACAGGAAGCAGCUUGCUGCUUCGCUGACGAGUGGCGGCCGGGUGAGUAAUGUCUGGGAAGCUGCCUGAUGGAGGGGGAUAACUACUGGAAACGGUAGCUAAUACCGCAUAAUGUCGCAAGACCAAAGAGGGGGACCUUCGGGCCUCUUGCCAUCGGAUGUGCCCAGAUGGGAUUAGCUUGUUGGUGGGGUAACGGCUCACCAAGGCGACGAUCCCUAGCUGGUCUGAGAGGAUGACCAGCCACACUGGAACUGAGACACGGUCCAGACUCCUACGGGAGGCAGCAGUGGCGAAUAUUGCACAAUGGGCGCAAGCCUGAUGCAGCCAUGCCGCGUGUAUGAAGAAGGCCUUCGGGUUGUAAAGUACUUUCAGCGGGGAGGAAGGGAGUAAAGUUAAUACCUUUGCUCAUUGACGUUACCCGCAGAAGAAGCACCGGCUAACUCCGUG